UACGAAGGGGGCUAGCGUUGCUCGGAAUCACUGGGCGUAAAGCGCACGUAGGCGGAUUGCUAAGUCAGGGGUGAAAUCCUGGAGCUCAACUCCAGAACUGCCUUUGAUACUGGCGGUCUCGAGUCCGGGAGAGGUGAGUGGAACUGCGAGUGUAGAGGUGAAAUUCGUAGAUAUUCGCAAGAACACCAGUGGCGAAGGCGGCUCACUGGCCCGGUACUGACGCUGAGGAGCGAAAGCGUGGGGAGCGAACAGG
rnacentral:rRNA from 1 species